UGGCUGUAGCUAUAUUAGCCAAGAAAGGAGGGAAGAAAAUUGGUUGGCUUGCAGUUUUCUUUAUCAUCAACAACCCACUUACCAAGCUUCCCACAUCU